UCGGGAAUUUUGGGCAAUGGGCGAAAGCCUGACCCAGCAACGCCGCGUGAAGGAUGAAGUAUUUCGGUAUGUAAACUUCGUAAGAAUAGGAAGAAUAAAUGACGGCACUAUUUGUAAGGUCCGGCUAACUACGUGCCAGCAGCCGCGGUAAUACGUAGGGACCAAGCGUUGUUCGGAUUUACUGGGCGUAAAGGGCGCGUAGGCGGUUUGUCAAGUCAGUUGUGAAAUCUCCGAGCUUAACUCGGAACGGUCAACUGAUAGUGUCAAACUAGAGUACAGAAGGGGCAAUCGGAAUUCUUGGUGUAGCGGUGAAAUGCGUAGAUAUCAAGAGGAACACCUGAGGCGAAGGCGGGUUGCUGGGCUGAUACUGACGCUGAAGCGCGAAAGCUAGGGUAGCAAACGGGAUUAGAUACCCAGGUAGUCCCUGAGCGGGCUGGCAAGGCGCAU
rnacentral:rRNA from 1 species